rnacentral:lncRNA from 1 species
CUGGUGCUCGCUUUGCACAUCCUCAUCACCGAGAGUGAGAGCGUGAAAGAGAGAAGAAAGAUUCAAAGAAGUGCAUGGCGUGUGAAGGAAAGAAAGAGAGGCGGAGAGACCAACAAAGAAUGCUUUCAUGCGUAAUGAAGGAGUACCGUGCCUGGUCGAUCAGUUAGGAUAAUACUGAUAUAAAGGUUUAUGGCAUCGCUGUAUCAAGGCAAGUAGCUGCUUUGCUAAACUCCCUGAUCUCGCCUUAUUGUUGUCUUCCUAGAUAUUUGAUUAUAUUGUUGCACCUUGAAUCUUAUUGAUCCUCCGUUGAUUCUUGUUUCAAUUGAGAGAGGGACAUGUUGUCCUCACAAUCCGUUUAUUAAUGGAAUCAUUGUAUUUUGAAGGAACUCAUGAAAAGACAUGAGCUAUUGUUUUGAGUGAUAUCAGUAAUAUUGUCAUUGAUCCAUUCACAUAGCAUACUCUAUCCAUCUAUAUUGGUAUCAUGACGGCAAACGUAUUGUACCGGUCACAGUUCAGGUAUGGGACUGUCUGGGUUCUCCGCUAGAAACGACCCUUGUUCGGGACCGUGUCGAUGAUGGAUCCGUAGGAGCGACCAACAUUAGUAGGUCAAGGUGUUCAGGUACUAGCGCCUGUGUGGUUCUAGACGAGAUUGUCGACGUUAGAGUACCCCUCUUAAGAAUGUAUAAGUGUGAAAUUUCACCUCUGUGACUCCCGGGUUGGGAAGCUUCGGUCAUGUGUGACACCAAUAAAUUCCUUGGUGUUUUCAUUAAAUCCAGUUAUUGUUCUUUUGUCCAUUUACACUAAAAUAUGUUCUAAUGUUUAUUACCUGUUUUAUCCUCUGGAUUCACUUUAUCUAUUGAUUUACACCAUCAUACCAUUAUUGCUCCUUGUUGAAUAGUUAAGUAUCUGCUUGCUGAGUAUGACUUGUCCUACUCACCCUUGCUUCCUCUGUUUUUAGAUGCAGAUGAUGUAACUUAAGCAUGUCCAGAAGAUGUCGUCAUUCAAAAUUAGGUCGGAUCAGUGGAUGGGAAGCGACUAUAUAAUGAUUUAUUUGAGAUGUUUGUAAAUGUAAAGAAUUUUGUAAGGUUAAUAUAUGAGCUUUUAUGAUCC